rnacentral:rRNA from 1 species
GGGCCCGCACAAGCGGUGGAGCAUGUGGUUUAAUUCGAUGAUACGCGAGGAACCUUACCAGGGCUUAAAUGGGAAAUGACAGGGGCAGAGACGCCCCCUUCUUCGGACAUUUUUCAAGGUGCUGCAUGGUUGUCGUCAGCUCGUGCCGUGAGGUGUCAGGUUAAGUCCUAUAACGAGCGCAACCCCUACCGUUAGUUGCCAGCGUGUAAUGACGGGGACUCUAACGGAACUGCCGGUGCAAACCGUGAGGAAGGUGGGGACGACGUCAAAUCAUCACGGCCCUUACGUCCUGGGCCACACACGUGCUACAAUGGUAGGUACAGAGGGAAGCCACCCCGCGAGGGGGAGCGGAUCUACAAAACCUUUUCGUAGUCCGGAUUGGAGUCUGCAACUCGACUCCAUGAAGUCGGAAUC